rnacentral:rRNA from 1 species
GUUAGUUCUCAGUUCGGAUUGUAGUCUGCAACUCGACUACAUGAAGCUGGAAUCGCUAGUAAUCGUAGAUCAGCAUGCUACGGUGAAUACGUUCCCGGGUCUUGUACACACCGCCCGUCACACCACGAGAGUUUGUAACACCCGAAGCCGGUGGAGUAACCAUUUGGAGCUAGCCGUCGAAGGUGGGACAAAUGAUUGGGGUGAAGUCGUAACAAGGUAGCCGUAUCGGAAGGUGCGGCUGGAUCACCUCCUUUCUAAGGA